GGGAUAUCUUUAGUAAUUGCGAAUGAACAAGGAUAUGCUUAGCUUGACAAAUGGAGCUAUUGGCUUUGAAUUGUAUUGUGGAAAUGUAUUACCAACAGAGGUGCAGGUGCCAGCCUAUUGAAAUAAAGCGUCAAUGAGGGUGAGAAUCCUGUUUGUCAUGUGCAGCCCUUUGUGCACGGUGUAUAUUUGCUGAGUCACACUCCUUGGCAUUGGAAUGCAAAGUGGGUGGUAAGUUUCAUGUAAAGGUAAACAUGCAAUUGAGACUGAUAGCACACAAGUACCAUGAGGGAAAUAUGAAAAGGACUUUGAAAAGAGAAUUAAAUGAGUUUGUAUUUGCUGAACACAAAGUAAACAGACUUGAUUUGCUUGGUGGGAGUGUUGCACUUGCUUGACAAGAGCUUUGGGCUGUGGGUGUAAUGAUUCUUUCUUUGCAUGCCAGUUUCUAUUUGUACAUCUGAUUACCUUUGCACAUGAAUGAUAAGUCUCCUGUGGGGGGUGGAUUGCAUGUGCAUGUAAUGAUUUGUGUUUUGAUAAAUGUGUCUGGUGUAUGUGUGUGUUCCUGUGCUUGGGGAUGCUUCCUUUCCUUGGACUUACAAGCCCUGACACACACAUGCU
rnacentral:rRNA from 1 species